UUUCCGUAGGUGAACCUGCGGAAGGAUCAUUACCGAGUUAGGGUUGCCUUCUAGGUGCCCGACCUCCCAACCCUUUGUGAAUCGUACUCGUUGCUUCGGGGGCGACCCUGCCGUCCGCGGCUGAGCGCCCCCGGGGUCAAUCAAACACUGCAUUCUCUGCGUCGGAGUAUUAGUAAAUCUAAUCAAAACUUUCAACAACGGAUCUCUUGGUUCUGGCAUCGAUGAAGAACGCAGC
rnacentral:misc_RNA from 1 species